GGUCUCAUAGCUCAGUGGUCGGAGCACUGGUCUUGAAAACCAGGGGUCGUGAGUUCAAUUCUCAUUGAGGCCU